GCCCCCUUCGCCCUUCGGGGCAUACGGUCAAACAGAAAAUAUACAGAGAAGAUUAGCAUGGCCCCUGCACUAAGGAUGACACGCUCAAUCAAAGAGAAGCACCCAUUUUUU
rnacentral:snRNA from 1 species